AUUGGACGCUGGCGGCAGGCCUAACACAUGCAAGUCGAGCGGUAGAGAGGUGCUUGCACCUCUUGAGAGCGGCGGACGGGUGAGUAAUGCCUAGGAAUCUGCCUGGUAGUGGGGGAUAACGUCCGGAAACGGACGCUAAUACCGCAUACGUCCUACGGGAGAAAGCAGGGGACCUUCGGGCCUUGCGCUAUCAGAUGAGCCUAGGUCGGAUUAGCUAGUUGGUGAGGUAAUGGCUCACCAAGGCGACGAUCCGUAACUGGUCUGAGAGGAUGAUCAGUCACACUGGAACUGAGACACGGUCCAGACUCCUACGGGAGGCAGCAGUGGGGAAUAUUGGACAAUGGGCGAAAGCCUGAUCCAGCCAUGCCGCGUGUGUGAAGAAGGUCUUCGGAUUGUAAAGCACUUUAAGUUGGGAGGAAGGGUUAUAGAUUAAUACUCUGCAAUUUUGACGUUACCGACAGAAUAAGCACCGGCUAACUCUGUGCCAGCCGCCGCAGUAAGAC
rnacentral:rRNA from 1 species